rnacentral:rRNA from 1 species
GUCCACGCCGUAAACGAUGGGCACUAGGUGUCGGGGGUAUCCACUCCCUCGGUGCCGCCGCUAACGCAUUAAGUGUCCCGCCUGGGAAGUACGGUCGCAAGAUUAAAAACUCAAAGGAAUUGACGGGGGCCCGCACAAGCGGUGGAGCAUGUGGUUCAAUUCGAUGCAACGCGAAGAACCUUACCUGGGUUUGACAUCUGGUGAAGGCUCGUGAAAGCGAGCCGUGCCCGCAAGGGAGCGCCAAGACAGGUGCUGCAUGGCUGUCGU